AUUCAAUUCUAAUUCAAAUAAACUAAGAAGAGCAAUCAGUAUAUUUGAUUUGUACAUAUAUGUUCAGGUAUAACUUAUUUUGAUAAAAAAAUUUAAGUGGCAAUACAUAAGAAAGGUUUGAAAUUACUGUAUUAUAAUUUCUUCACUCUGACGUACGGUAAACUAGAUCCGAUUGCACUAUUCGCUCUCAUUCAGUUUCAGUUUCGAUCGUGGCCGAGCGCUAGGAAUUUAGGAAUUGCGUGCGAAAUAUAAUCGAAUUGAAUUCGUUCUCGUCCAAGCAAUGCAGUUUUUUAUGUCAAUACGCAUCGACAAAUCGCGGCCAUAUUGCGUACCAACAAAUUCGAUUGUUCGCUGAGAUCAACAAUUGCGUUUUUUAGCUUAAAAUUAUUUGCACGAAAAUAAUUUAAUUUAAGUGGAAGUUUCUGUGAAGUGAACAACAUAAAUUAUUGGUUAAAAUUAAUAAUCAAAUCGGAAAAGGACAAUUUACAAAAAAUUGUGUGGAAAAAAAAUAUGGGAUAUAUUCUUCGCUGUGGAUCAGCUUUCGUCAUCAUUCAAUUAUCGUAUUUUUUUGUAUAAACUGUGAUUAUGAGUUCCACAAAGUCGCAAGUAGCAGUUGCUACAACUAUACCAACAAUGUCCUCUCAAAAGGAUUAUAGCACUGAAGAGCAUUUAGGUCGUCAAAACAGUUUUGGAAAUAAUAGACGAGU